rnacentral:rRNA from 1 species
CACGUAGGGUGCGAGCGUUGUCCGGAAUUAUUGGGCGUAAAGAGCUCGUAGGCGGUGUGUCGCGUCGGCCGUGAAAACCUGCAGCUUAACUGUGGGCGUGCGGUCGAUACGGGCAUCACUGGAGUUCGGCAGGGGAGACUGGAAUUCCUGGUGUAGCGGUGAAAUGCGCAGAUAUCAGGAGGAACACCGGUGGCGAAGGCGGCAUCCUGGACCGACACUGACACUGAGGAGCGAAAGCCCAGGGGGAGCAAACGGG